UACCGGCGCAUCUGCGGGACGACACAGAUGCAACCUCCCUGUUGGACUUGCCCGGGCCUCCGUGCCCGGGUGUCUUU
rnacentral:ncRNA from 1 species